rnacentral:rRNA from 1 species
GACGAACGCUGGCGGCGUGCCUAACACAUGCAAGUCGAACGGAGGCGGGAGUUAGGAUUGAGGGAACAAAAAAUUGCGCCCUGAAUCCUGAUUCCUUGCCUAAGUGGCGGACGGGUGAGUAACGCGUGAGUAACCUGCCUUUUUGAGGGGGAUAACAUCGGGAAACCGAUGCUAAUACCGCAUAAAAUAUGAAAUUCGCAUGAGUUUUAUAUCAGAGGAGCAAUCCGCAAAAAGAUGGACUCGCGUCCGAUUAGCCAGUUGGCGGGGUAAAGGCCCACCAAAGCAACGAUCGGUAGCCGGGUUGAGAGACUGAACGGCCACAUUGGGACUGAGACACGGCCCAGACUCCUACGGGAGGCAGCAGUGGGGGAUAUUGCACAAUGGGGGAAACCCUGAUGCAGCAACGCCGCGUGAGGGAAGAAGGUUUUCGGAUUGUAAACCUCUGUCCAAAGGGAAGAAAAAGAUGACGGUACCUUGGAGG